rnacentral:rRNA from 1 species
GACAGAGGGUGCAAACGUUGUCCGGAAUCAUUGGGCGUAAAGAGCGUGUAGGCGGCCCGAUAAGUCCGCCGUGAAAGUCCAGGGCUCAACCCUGGAAUGCCGGUGGAAACUGUCGGGCUGGAGUCCGGAAGAGGCGAGUGGAAUUCCUGGUGUAGCGGUGAAAUGCGCAGAUAUCAGGAGGAACACCAAUGGCGAAGGCAGCUCGCUGGGACGGUACUGACGCUGAGACGCGAAAGCGUGGGGAGCAAACAGG